rnacentral:rRNA from 1 species
GGUUUGGCGCGCCUGGCCCGCCACGGUUACGUGUGUGAGUGCCGGGACGCGCCUGCCAUCCUUCUAGUGAACUAUUCUGCCCUUCACUGGGUGGGAUAGGUAGCUAGAUCAUUUACUUUGAAAAAAUUAGAGUGUUUAAAGCAGGCGUUUGCUAUGAAUACAUUAGCAUGGAAUAAUAACUUAGGACUUCGGUUCUAUUUUGUUGGUUUCUAGGACUGAAGUA